GCCUACGGGACGCAGCAGUGGGGAAUCUUGCGCAAUGGGCGAAAGCCUGACGCAGCGACGCCGCGUGAGGGAUGAAGGUCUUCGGAUCGUAAACCUCUGUCAGCAGGGAAGAAAGGUCACUGUGCUAAUCAGCAGUGAAUUGACGGUACCUGCAAAGGAAGCACCGGCUAACUCCGUGCCAGCAGCCGCGGUAAUACGGAGGGGGCGAGCGUUAAUCGGGAUUACUGGGCGUAAAGCGCUCGUAGGCGGUAUGUCAAGUCUAGGGUGAAAUCCCCGCGCUCAACGUGGGAACUGUCUUUGAAACU
rnacentral:rRNA from 1 species